UCGUUCGUUCGUUCGUUCGUUCGUUCGUUCGUUCGUUCGUUCGUUCGUUCGUUCGUUCGUUCGUUCGUUCGUUCGGUCUUAAGCGAACUGCAGCACGUGUCUUAUCGUCGAAUACUUCUAAUCGAUUGGACUAAGUACUUAUACGAAGAAAUUUUCGAGUUUCCCGAAGAAUCACUAUGAAUUUCCGACUGCUUGACGUUAACCAUUAUCAAAGUUGGAUAACAUAACUUUGUUCGUUGUAAGAGAAGCCCGAUUUCUAGGUUGAAAGUUCAUUUCUGAGUUCCAUCGUGCUUCCGGUGUAUUUCUAUAGCCAUCGUAUUUGGUUUCGUGACCUAACCUAACUCUUAUAUAUACAUAUUUAAACUCGUUAUUGCCGUAGAAAGGUCUUAAUAUAUUAUUUAAAAUGUUAUAAAGUUUAUUAACAAGUUGAUCGGUACUGUACGCUCAUCAACAAUUUAUCAUCGACGAUUUUUUUUUUAUCUGAAUUCAAGAGAAAUACGAAAUGAUGAUGAUCGGUGUUAUUAAAUUUUUUUCAACGAAUGAAUUGAAAGAAAUUUUCAACAAUUCAAUAUUACGGUCUAUCCUGAAUUUGUAAUUUCUAAAAUAUUUAUGCGAUUAUUCUCUAUAACAUGACGACGAUAUUUGCGUAUGAACAUAACCAAUAGGAUUUUAUAAAAAACCAAGAUAAACGUAUUAUUUCGAUAAGAAUUGAUAAGGAUAUGGUUCUAUCGAAACAUAUUACUCAAUAUUUUAUCAUCAUAAGUUUAUAUUAAUAAAACUUGUCGUCUUUUACCUAAACAAAACUCUUAUCGCAUAUGUAUUUAUCAAAACUGAAUUGCUCGUUAAAAUUGGCACGUUUGACGAGUAAAGUUUUUUCGUUUAACGUUUAACACGCGAUAACCUUUACGAACUUUUUCUUACGUAUUAUUUGUUUUUUCCUUUUUCUUUUCGAUAAUUUAUAACAACAUACAUGUCUCUUUUCUCGAGGAAAAAAAAACAAAAAUAAGGCGAGGCAGAUGGAUGGAUGGAUCGUUAUUUGCAAGAUGGUGUCGGCCAUAUUGGUCACGUGACAUCGUGUACAUGGGAUGCGUAAUAGAAAGAAAGAAAGAAAGAAAGAAAGAAAGAAAGAGAGAAAGAAAAAAAAACAACACGCAAGUACGUGCGUACACACGUAUACGUACGCGACACGGCGACGUACGUACACGUAAAAAGAAAGAAAGACAAAAAACUCGUUACGUCCUCUUGUUCCGUGCUUGCAUGUGGGUGGUUACGUGAAUGCGUGCGUGCGUCGUGCGUGCGUGAGUACGUGCGUGCAUGUGGCGCGUGAAUGGGAACGCGUGAGUUCGAGGAAGAAAACAAACGAAUCGAUCUUUCCUAAGCGUUUUUGUCGAACGCGAUUGGUAAAAGUAUUUGGUAGGAUCGUCGACGCGACGUUUCAAAGUAUACAACAUAAAGAAAAAUAGAAGAACAAACUUCUUAUGGAUUUUCACCCAAUUCAACUUGUUUCAUCUCGUUGUGACGUCUCCUAAGCUGGCACUAUUAAUGGAUCGGAUCGUCGAGUGUUUAAAGGCGACCUCGAGGUAUUAAAGGGCGAUAAGCCGCCAUAUUUACUUUACCAACGAGUCGAACCGAAUGAAGCCGAGUUAACCCGACACACGUGAGAAUGCUAACCGAACCGUACAGUUGUCAAAAUGUAACUUCAUUUGUACGAGAACAGAGAGAGAGAGAGAGAGAGAGAGAGAAAUUAUGGAUGAGACGAUGUCAAGGAUGAUUCGUGAUGUUCACGAGUAAUUGGGGAUUUAUCGUAGUAUUGAAUAAUUUAUAAGAGACCCGUAUGCCGAUUAAAUUUCAAAUUCAAAGUUCCUUUCGUUGACAAAAUCGUUCGAAAAGUCCGUAAAAGCAUUUUUAACGAACGUUAUCAAAGCUGUUGUACCAUCAACUUUUUUUUUCGGAUGCUAUCGUAUUUCAGCGUAACCUCGAAUGUGAUAGUCCCAAAGGUUAUUUAAAUGAAACAGAGAUGAAAUUUAAUUUAAUAUUCUCGAUGUGUUAAACGAUGAUACUAAUAACGAUUGUGGAAUAGUAUAAUUUUUGGUAUUACUAUUGCUUUUUCCUC